CCUACGGGAGGCAGCAGUGGGGAAUAUUGCACAAUGGGGGAAACCCUGAUGCAGCGACGCCGCGUGAGUGAAGAAGUAUUUCGGUACGUAAAGCUCUAUCAGCAGGGAAGAAAAAAAGUCCUUUGGACUUUGGACGGUACCUGACCAAGAAGCCCCGGCUAACUACGUGCCAGCAGCCGCGGUAAUACGUAGGGGGCAAGCGUUAUCCGGAUUUACUGGGUGUAAAGGGAGCGUAGACGGCAGCGCAAGUCUGGAGUGAAAUGCCGGGGCCCAACCCCGGAACUGCUUUGGAACCUGUGCAGCUGGAGUGCAGGAGAGGUAGGCGGAAUGCCUAGUGUAGCGGGGAAAUGCGUAGAUAUUAGGAGGAACACCAGGGGCGAAGGCGGCUUAUUGGACUGUAACUGACGUUGAGGCUCGAAAGCGUGGGGAGCAAACAGGAUUAGAUACCCGGGUAGUC
rnacentral:rRNA from 1 species